CCUACGGGAGGCAGCAGUAGGGAAUCUUCGACAAUGGCCGAAAGGCUGAAGGAGCAACGCCGCGUGAGUGAAGAAGGUCUUCGGAUCGUAAAACCCUUUUGUUAGAGAAGAAAGUGCGUGAGAGUAACUGUUCACGUUUCGACGGUAUCUAACCAGAAAGCCACGGCUAACUACGUGCCAGCAGCCGCGGUGAUACGUAGGUGGCAAGCGUUAUCCGGUUUUAAUGGGCGGAAAGGGAACGCAGGCGGUCUUUUCAGUCUGAUGUGAAAGCCUUCGGCUUAAACGGAAUCGAGCAUUGGAAACUGAGGAACUUGAGUGGGCGAGAGGUAAGCGGAAGUCGAGGUGUAGCGGUGAAAUGCGUAGAUAUAAGGCAGAACACCAGUGGCGAAAGCAGCUCACUGGUCUGUAACUGACGCUGAGGUUCGAAAGCGUGGGUAGCGAACAGGAUUAGAUACCCGGGUAGUC
rnacentral:rRNA from 1 species